UGGGGAAUAUUGCACAAUGGGGGAAACCCUGAUGCAGCAACGCCGCGUGAGUGAAGAAGUAUUUCGGUAUGUAAAGCUCUAUCAGCAGGGAAGAAAGUGACGGUACCUGACUAAGAAGCCCCGGCUAACUACGUGCCAGCAGCCGCGGUAAUACGUAGGGGGCAAGCGUUAUCCGGAUUUACUGGGUGUAAAGGGAGCGUAGACGGCACAGCAAGUCUGAAGUGAAAUCCCCGGGCUCAACCCGGGAACUGCUUUGGAAACUGUUGGGCUGGAGUGCUGGAGAGGCAAGCGGAAUUCCUAGUGUAGCGGUGAAAUGCGUAGAUAUUAGGAGGAACACCAGUGGCGAAGGCGGCUUGCUGGACAGUAACUGACGUUGAGGCUCGAAAGCGUGGGGAGCAAA
rnacentral:rRNA from 1 species